CCCAUCGCAGCUCAGGGGCCUCUGGGCGACUCUUGGCGGUGUGGGAAGCGUGUGCCCGCGCACCUGGCAAAGUUGCACACCCGCAAGCUCCCUGGGUGUCCCGAGCUGCGGCGCGACCACCUCCUCCGAGAGGGUCUCGGACCGGCUGAGCUGAUGCUGUGCCUGUGAUGAGAUGAAGUGAACGGCAAUGUGACACACAGUUAGCUGCUAACCAGGUGGUUAAAUGACUACCACGAAAGGGUUGGACAGAAUGAGAUGGAAAGAAUGAUCCCAUCACACUACUCAGAAUGCUUUUCCAGAAAUCCCAUGAUUAUUUUACUGUGGCAGACAAUGACCUUCUCCAAGGAGGCCCAUCAAAUACUGAAGAUAAGUAAUGAGAGGGUCUCUUUCUCCUGCCUCAAGCAAAAAAAUUGCACAGAGGGAAAAUGUUUGUGAAAGUGUCAAUAUGUUCGCCUCAAGACAGGCAGCAGCAUGCUCCCUGUGCAAUGGAACAGCUCAUGUGCCUGGGAGUGACCAGUGGCCCUCACUGGACAAGACUCAUGGAGCAGGUCUCCUUAGAGGGACCUUAGGGUAGCCACCUAAGCCCUUCACCCAGAACACUAGAAUAAAUAUAUCUCUGGUGGCAAGGAGAGCACAAUUUUCAACCUCUUGGUUUGGGAGCCAAUUAACUAAAAGAAAGUAAACUCUGGUUUAUGGUACCUCCAACAAGGUAGAAAAUCGUAUUUCUGAUUUAUGAGGUCAAGAUUAACUGUAAUGAAUCCUCUUUCCUUCAUAUUCCUGUCUUCCCACCAGACAGAAAAUAAGGAGAGAAAGGUGACUUCUUUUAUUGUUCUCCCCAUGGAAGGAAGGUUUUGCAAAGUAGAGAGCUGCAAACAAAACAGAAACAUUGUCAAGAUUAAAGUGACUUGGUUAUGUGGGAGAAUACGGCUGUUUACUCAGGCCAAGAGUCACCAGUCCAUGCAUUUUAUGCCUCUGGUAUUUAACCUGCCCAGUCUAUGGACACACACAUCUUGACUUCAGGAGAAAAGUACAAGACUCUCCAGUGAUCAAAUAGACAAUUCAAAUUUGCAGGGUCCUCUUAUGGAAAGGAAUGGGAAAAUGGGGAGAAGAAAAAGAAAAUUCUCUAUUCUCAGAAAAUCUCAGGAAUCAAUGGGCUUAGCCAGGUGGUGGUUCAUGGCAGCACAAGGGAAAAAGUAAUAGAGAAAUCUCACAAGUAAUCAAGAUACAAAUUGAAAUGGCUCAGCAAUAUCUUAGGACAAAAGUUAGUAGCAAGCAGAUAGAUAUCAAAGACAUUAGUUAGCUAACCAGUAGGGGAUGGCAAUGGGCUAAAUUUUAAGCUCACCAAGGGAGUUUGUAUUUGGGCUCUGAUUCACUGCCUUCUUCCCUGUAAAAUGUCCUCCCCACCUUUUGGGAUGGCCAACAUCCACUCAUUUCUUGAGAUUCCAGUGGAAGAAAAUCUGAGUCAUAUUCUGGCCAGGAGCCUUGGCCACUGUGCCUUGUCCCUCUGCAGACCUUUGUCAUGGCAACGGUUGGCUUUAUUGUUUGAUUGUCAUGGCUCAGUCUGCUAUGUAGGGACUCCAAGUCUAUUUAUCUUUGCAUCUCUUGUGACCAGAACAUGGCUGACACAUGGACAGUUCAUAGUGUUAAGGGAACAAAAGAAGAAUGAUAAUUAUCUUCUCUAUGGGUCAUCUUUUUCUUCCCUCUUCAACUCCUUUACCACUGUAACAUCUUUUAAUACCCUUCAAAGUGACUAAAUUCCAAGGAAAAGAUGUUUUGCUCUCUGGUGAGAAAAUUUCAUUUAUUUCCUGAGGGUCAGUUAUUGUUUAAUCACUAGAAGACAUUAAGGUCUCUUUUAGGUAGAAAAUGGAGAUAAUAACUUCCUCAGUAAGUAAACAGCAAGACAGAACUUGUUUUCAACAAAAAUUUGAUUAACAUAUUACUUGCAAGGGGCAUUUCUAUUGCCAUAAAGCAAGGUCCUUCAAAUAAUAUCACAUAAGGGGCUGGGGAUUUAGCUCAGCAGCAUAAGUGCCUGCCUUGCAAGCAGGCAGUCGUGAGUUCGAUCCCCAGUACCGAUGAAAAGGAAAAAGACACACACACACAAAAUAAUAUAUCACAUAGGCUAAAAGCUAGGGAUUAAAACACAUGGAAUAAGUAGGGGUUCUACCAUGUAGCGGUGGGAAGAUGGACCAUAGUAGUAAGGCUUUUAAAAAAUCCAAGUAUUACAUGAAGGAAAAGAAAAACAAUGAUAAUGAAUCCUUACUUUACAGAAAAAAGGGUGAAGGACUGACUUGGAAUGAAGUCAUGACUUGACUUAUCAUGGUAUUUGAAAAUACCAUGAUAAACUGAAAGAACAUGAGGGAUCUAAAGCACACAACAGAUUUGAGAGACCAGGAGUGACUUCUCCAGGUGGAGGAUUAAGUCUCCCAGGUCUCUAGGGAGGUCUUUGACCUGGGCUAUUUCCAUAGGUUCAGAAAGAAAUGCAGCAUGGCAGAAACCAAUUCAGGUAAAGGUAACAGUUUUCUACACAUAAGAACUCACAAAAGACUCAGGGUGGAAUGGGUAUGACUGUCUUUUCUUCAACUCUGUGAAAACUGUGUUUCAAAUAUGAGUGGGCUGGUAUUUCUCUAUGCUGGAUCCAGUACUUAUGAUUUCUCUGCCAUGUGUAUCUAUAGUUCUAUCAAGUAACUGAGAAAUGUUUUUCCUUAAACCAGUGUAACUGGCAAAAUGUGCCUUAAAUAUUCCUAUUGUGUAUCAUGAAACUAAUCCUGAAAGUCAUGAAACAAAUCCAAAGGCUGGAAAGGGUAGAAAAUGACCAUAAACAAUAAAUCUAAGUGAAAUCCUGCUAAGUACGGAGAUAUAUACAUAUACACAGGCACACACACAUGCACAUGUGUACACACACACACCUUUUUCCUGAUGCUUUCAGGAAUAGAUGGCUACAGGAAAUUUAUGUUAAGGAAAGGAAAAAAAAAAAGGAAUUACUUCUAUAAGAAUGUCAGAUUUUGGUUUGUUGGUCAGGGCCAAUAAAGAUCUCUUGCUGUGAGCCAACGAGAAAAGAAAUGCAGUGAGGGAUGUUACACUUUAUGUGGCCCGAAUGUGAUUAGUGAUUAGCGCUGGCAGCUUCAGUCACUUGGGAAUAGCCAUCAGGGUUUCUCUCCUGCAACUCUCAACAACAACAGAAUACCACUGGCUCCUAUCCCAUAUAAUGACAGGGUAUUAACUGAAAAUCUAAUUAAUUUGUGAAUGAAUUAUGGCUAAAAAAUUUACCAUUUUAUAAUCAAUUUUAAGUGAGUCCCUAACGGAAGAUAGGAUGAAGAGAAAGCUGUAAAAUUAUAAGAGGUUGGUAUACUCUGUUCACUAUGACUGAUGAUUUUAAGGGGGAUAAUUUUAUAAUCUAUCAAAUUUUUGUCAUUUCAAAGAUCAUGCCUCCCAAUAUAUGAUGUAAAUUAAUUUUAGAAUUUACAUAUUUAUUAAAAAUUGUAUUAAAAACAGGAGAAGUGAGCUCUAUUUGAAUAAAAAAUAACUUGUUAUUCUUAGUGGAGAUUAAAAAUAAAAAAUAUUUUAUUUGCAGGUAAUAUGGACAUAAAUUGCUAUCUGAUUUACUUAAACCAAUAAUUAAUAUGCUCCAGAGGCAAUGACAUGAUAUUGAAGCUAAUGUCCCAUCUUCAGUUUUAGGGCCUGAAAUAGUUACAAGACAGUAAAGCCAGGGAAAGACAAACAGGGAGGUAAAGACUAGGUCUUUGAGCCUGCAGCGUUGUGCAUGUCUGAAGCAGGGCUACACUUUGUGGGGAGGUGCAGACAAGAAAACCCAUGGUAUGACCUGGAAUGAAGGAGCCUUGACUUUAUUUUAAAAUAUUCUUUCCAAAAAGUUCCUCAUUUUUACUUCUCAAAGCCUACUGGGUUGAAUCUCCAUCAUGACUAAGAUUUGUUCAAGGUUAUAGAAUACCCAAAUGUCUGCAGUAGCCUUGGCUGCCAACAGUGCUGGACCCUGGCCAGGCAUGACUCCUGGGCACUAUGGGGAAGGGUAAGAUGUGUAUGGGAUUGCCAUUAUGGGUUGAUGUCAGAGUACAGUUGGGUGGAUAUAACCAGUCAUGAGGAUUAUGCCGCAUGAUAGACUGUCAAGUCAAAGAUCUGGCCCUAAAAUAGCAAUUGGAUGGAUUUACAUGAAGAUGAGUCUGGGGGAACAGAGCUGGUGUGUGGUUACACAUACCUUUUAGAAUAAUGGAUAAAAAAAUAAGCAUUAGGCUGAAGGAAUGUUCUCUUUAAAUUCCUGGGAGAGGAGAAGGAAUGAGAAUACUUGUUUACUAUGAAAUUCAGUUUAAUCAUGGUUUGAUGAUGUGCAUUCAUGAUAAGCUGUUAUUUCAUCUUUAUGAAAACAAAGCUAGCUGUGGUGGUGCACAUGUGUAACACAAGCAGUCUGGAAGGCUGAGGCAGAAGGUUCCCAAGUUAGAGCCCAGCUUGGACAACUUAGUGAGACUCAGUUUUAAAAUAUUUUUUUAUGAGAAAAAAGGUUAGGAAUGUAGCUCAAUAUGAAGGCUCUCUGUUCAGUUCCCAGGGCAAGAAAACACAGAAAAAUAAAACAAGAAUGAGAGGUUCCUUCUGUUAUUCACAUUUCUGCAGUGAGGACUAAAUACCUGAUACUGCAAUUUAAAGAAGAGGUCCUUUUCGGCUCUCUGUUUCAGAGGCUUCUGUCUAUGGUUAGCUGGUUCUGGAACAAAUGACAUGGUGUAAGGGGCCUUGUAGAAGAAAACUGAUGAACCUCUGACAAUCCAUGGUAGCCAGUAAGGAGAGAGCCAGAGAGAAAGACAGGGGCCAACUAACUAGACCUUUCCCGGCCACACCCCCAAUGGCGCAGUUCCUCUAACCAGACUUCAUUUCUUAACAGCUCAUAACUCACCAAUGGAUUAAUCUUUUAAUGAUAUUAGCUACACUGUGAUAAUCACCAUCCAAAAGCUCUACCUCUGAACAUAGGAGAUUUUUGGUGGUCAUUUUACAUCAAAUCCUAGUACCUUCAUGAAAUACUAUGAGUAAGGAGCUUGGCUGAUACUGCCUCUGCUGUGUGGAGUUCACGGCAUCAAGGCAGACACAGCUAGUAGCUGGCACUCAUGUGGCAACUGCUGCCUUCCAUUACCACAGCAGGUACUGCUGGUCAGUCAUUCUGAACAUGGAUACAUGAAUCCUCAGAACUUCCUUAACACAGACAUUUGUACAAUUUUUACCUACUGAUUGUCCUUGGCAUUACAAAUGGAAGCUACCUGACAUCUUUGGUUAGCAGGAGUGCAUGUGUAUUUAUAGUAAGGCUAUUUAUAUAUCAAACCUCAUGCUGUCACAUGUACUAUGUGCUAACAAUGAAGGCAUAAUUCUCAGCCUAUGCCCAAUAUGAGACUGCAUAUUAGUGCCUAAUAUAUGGAAUCUAAAGUCACCUUUGACUUCUGUCAGACUCCAUACUCACUAGUAUUGCUUGUUUAUUCUCAGAAUCACUUCUCGUUUUUGUCCUGCAUCCUAAGAACUACAUUUCCUAGGUUCUCCUUAUUCCUAGCUCCCAAGAGGUUUGGUCAGUAGGAGACAAAGACAGAUGCUCGGGCAGUGGGAAGAGGAAAGAAAAGGUAUUUUUUUCUACUUUCUGAGUCCCAUGACGUUAUUGGUAGCAGCUGCUCCUCCUCUAAUCUCUACCUGCGGCUAAAGUAGCUGUGUCUGCCCAAGGUUUUAGCUCUUACUGGUGGACCAGCUUUUAGAUUUUCAGGUCACUUUUGCCAGUGACUUUUUACUCCCAUGGGUGACUAUGAUAACUUUUCCCAUCUAGUCUCUGGAUCAUGACUUUCCAGUACUUAGCAUCUCAGAUACUCUGUUACUUAAGCAAUUCUCUGUAUUAAGUUCUCUCUACUGAGAAAACUAAAAUAGUACUUGUUAUAUGCAAACCCCGACUGAUUGUACUUUAAAAUUGUCUGCUGUACUUUAAAAGUAUAACCUAAAUCCAGUCAUUCUUCACCAUUUGCUUUCUCCUAUCGUUUCUUGCUUGGGUGGCUGUGUGGUUUCCUAGCCACAUUUCUAUUUUCAUUUCCUGAUACCCUGUUCUCCUUACAGAAGCCACUACAUUCCUUAAACACUGUAAAUCAGACCCCACCGCUCUGCUCAAAAAUUCUCCUGUGUUUUUCUUUGGCUGAGAAUGAAACUUAAAAAUCAUAUAUAACUGGCUUCUCUAUUCUUUUCCACCCUAAUUUCCUCCUGUACUAUUACUCUGCUCUAGGACAGGCAUGGUAAAAAAGUUCCUAAUUCAGGGACUUUUUUCUUGAUUUAUUCUCUGCUCAAUAAGCUUUUCCUUUAACCAAUCACACUUCAAUGUUCACUUCACUCAAACCUGCGUUCCAAAGUCUCCUCUUCAGACAGAUAUUACCCAAUACUCUCCCUGAAGUACUGUGAUCUAUUUCCUAUUUGUUCAUUCUGCUUGAUUUGUAAAUGUUACACAUAAUUACUUGACAUUAGUCAUUCCUCAGAAUCCACAGGGGCUGGUUCCAGGAACCCCUCUGGAUACCAAAAUAUGUGGAUGCUCAAGUCUCUUCAUAGGAGUAUACUGUUUAAUCUAUAUCCUACAAAACCUUAUAUGCUGUAAGUCACGUUUCGAUUACUUGUAAUACCUGAUGUAAUAUAAAUGUUAUGUAAACCACUGAUAUACUGUGUUGUUUAGGGAAUAGUAACAAGAGGAAAGCCUCUAUUGUUUAGUGCAGAUGCAAUCUUUUCUGGAUAUUUUACACUCACAGUUGGUUGAAUCUGGAGAUGUGGAACCAUAGAUAUGGAGACUAACUGUGUGACAUUUUAUUAUGUUUUCCUUACUAAAAUAUAAAAUCAAUUAAGGGCAAGGACUUGCUUUAGGGGGGCUGGGGAUUUAGCUCAGUGGCAUAAGCACCUGCCUUGCAAGCAGGCGGUCAUGAGUUCGAUCCCUGGUACUGAUAAAAAAAAUUUAAAAACUUGCUCUAUGUACAAUUCCUAUUAAAUACUAUGAACUGUAUAAAUAGCUUUGAAUAGUGGAUGAUAAGCCCUUAUUACACUGUGAAAAAUAAAGUGGUCACAGUAAUAGUUACUUAUAGUAUUAGCAUAAGAACACUUCUCUGAUGAAACCAAUAGACAUUUAUAACUUGAAAGCCCGUUGAAAACCAGGAUGUUGCUACAUCAAUGAAAUGAACUAUGAACAGUCAGUUACAAGGUGUGCCUUAUUUUCCCAUAGUUUUAUUAUCUCUGUCUUUCCUCCUUCUUAAAUGCUGUUCCUUGGCACUUAUGUCUAUCGCAAUUGCAACUGAUAUGGAAAUACUACUUUAAAAUGUGAAGGUACUGUAGUAGAUCAAAUAGCUUGUGGAUACAGUUGAUUGGGUUAAUAGUUUUAAUUCUGUAAGCUAGAAAAUAUGUUUGAGAUAUGCAGGAUUGCUGGCCUGCCAAUACUUCUGGCCACACAUUCCAGCUAGGAGUAAUCCUUUAAGGGUUAUGGUAUCAACAAAUUUCUAAGAACUUAGUAGGUCAAAGCCGAUUGCUUCCUGCUGAAGUCAAAGGUUUUAUUAAUUUCACUCUGAUUGUUUUCUACUUUUUGGCUCUGAGUGGUCUUAUAUAUUUUACUGCUUCCUCUAAAAAGAUAUGUUGAGGUCAUAUCCCCUGACACCUGUGAAUGAGACUAUAUUUGGAAAUAGGGUCUUUGCAGAUGUAAUUAAGAAGUGAAGAUAGAUCAUAUGGAGCAGGAUAAGUGAAUGGAAUAUGAGGGAUGCACAGAGGAGUCAUGGAGAGACUCACAGAGGGCAAUGCUAUGUGAAGACAGCCAUGUAGUGACAGAGACGGACACUGGAGUUGUGCCUAUGCGGCCAAGGAACCACAAGGAUUUGCUGUAUAGCUGUCAGUCCUGAUAUUUCAAUUACUUUGGGUUAAAAAAGGCCAAUGUUAUGCACUAGAGGUGAGGCAUGAACUUGAAUAUUCUACACGAUCCCUUCCCUAUUCCACCCCGGCAGUCUUCCCUUGCUCUGUUCCUGGGUUCCAUAAACUAAGCUCCACCUUUGCUUCAUUAGGCUCUAACUUUGCUCCACCUACCCUUCUCCCAUGAAGUUCCUGCCUUGGAGCCUGCUGAUCAUGUACUGGAUCUCUUGAAUCCAUGAGCUAAAUUAAACCUUUUCUCCUUUAAGGUACGGGCAUCAGAUGUUGUGUCUCAGUGACAAGAAAGCUAACCAACACAGGCAGCAAUCAUUAGAAGCUGGGGCAGUGGGCAAGGCCUUAUACCAGGCUGCUUGCUGACACUUGACACCUACACAUGUGAAAGGCUACCUUUCUUUUAAUAUUUCCAGUUUACAGGUAUAGUGGCCCUAGGAAAGUAGCUCAAGUAAUAGCUACAGUACUUAGCAUCAUCAAUAAGAGCCACUUGGAUAUAUUAAAAUUCUAGGUUUUACAAUUAAAUAUUCAUGAAUUUGGUGUUUUUUUGUUUUUUGUUUGUCCUGGGGAUCGAACUCUCAAUCUCAUACUUGCCAGACAGGCACUUAUGCUGCUGAGCUAAAUCCUGUUUUGUUUUUUUUCCUGAUGGAAAGAAAAAGACCAAAAAAUUUUAGCCUUUUUCUUUAUUGGACUUAAACAUAAUAUAUUUGAAGGAAAACAUUUUUUGGUUAAUUCUACCAUUUGAACUGAUGAUUACAUUAAUACUGUAAAAUAGAAAAUACUUCAUUUGAAAUCAAAAAGUAAUCAGAAAGGAAAAGAAGUUAUAUUUAGCAUAUCAGAACACAAUGGGAUGUGACAUGGUUUCAUGAGAUGUUCCUUUUGCUGCAUACAUUUGCACCUGGCUCCUCGCAUGCAUUGCUCGCCUCCCCUGGUUUGUCUCCCCCCAUAAAUGACAGAAGAUUAUAAUCAACAUCUUUUUGCAAAUGUGUAUUAGGACUAAAACUUUUAAAAUCAUGGUUGCCAAGGUUUUCUUUACUUUAAAAAUAAAUUUAGUUACCUACUAAAAUUUUUAACGCUGGACUUAGGCCUAGGAUUCUACUCCCAUCUAGAAUUUCUUCCCACAGUAUGCUAGGGGAGUACAUCUGGUGGGCUGGGAUAUAAAUGUCUUAUCAUCUUUUUCUCUGUUAGGGAUGAUACCUAAACAAAUUGAGUGUUAUAUACUCAGAUAAACUCAUGCCAAUUGGGGUGCCAUCUGGCAUAACAAACAGCAUAUGACCAACUCUCACUUUAUGUCUUUCCUAUUAACUAUAAUCUUUUUACAAGUUGGUGCUGUGUUUUGGAAGUUAAAUUGGUUCAAAAAUUUGGGUGCAGUCUGAGCUUGGUCACUAUCUCCUCAUCUCCAAUAUGGUCCUUGUCUUUGCACUGGCUGCAAUAAGAAAGUACCAUAAACUGAAUAUUUUAUAAAUCAUACAAGCUUCUCACAGGUCUGGAGGCUGGAAAGUUCAAGAUCAAAGGUCUGAUAAAUUUAAGGUCCGGUGAAGACCUCCUACAUGGUCCAUGGAUUCCUAUCUUUUUACUGUGUCCUCAUAUAGUGAAAGGGGCAAAUAAGCUUCCUGGGAAAUUUUAAUAGGAUACUAAUCCUAUUCACGAGGACCAUACUUUCAGGGCCUCAUCACUUCUCAAAGUUCACCUCUGCCAUCCUACUGGGAAGUAGCUUUCCAAACACAAACUUUGGUGAGAUACAAGCAUUUGGUCUGUAGUUCAUAUGGACCUAUGUCUAUUAAGUCUGUGCUUAUGGUGAAGGAAGAAGCCUCUUCUCCAAAUGGAAAACUUCUUUGUUACUUUUUAAGCAAAGAUCCAGAAGUUUCAGAUUAGAAAUAUCUCUGACUUGGAAGUUCUGUCAAGUGACACCUGGCACAGUGAUAGGAAAGACAAACUGGGGAGGUGGCGAAUGUCACAUCCCACAGUGUCUUCAUGGGAGACGUGAUCUCAUGACACUGGAGCUUCCCUUUAUUGUUUGAUUCCUGGCCAUGGCUGGUACCUUGUGCCCUGUAAUCCUUAAAUAAAUGAUACCUCAUGGGAAAUUCUCAUUGGAACUGCCUCUUUUGAGAGUAAAUGUGCCACUCUUCAUUCUACUGUUUUUUUACUAUAAGCUUUGGGGGCAUAAAGGCAAGAAUGAAUCCAGAAAAGGAAGCCUUGGAGAUCUGUGCCUAAUCAUAUAAAGCUGUGCCUGUGCUUAAAACAGGGUACAAGGGUAUCUUGUAUUUUUCCAUCACCUCCAGCUUGGCUACCAUUUGCCUUCCCUCAUUUGAUAUUUUUAACCUUUCACAUACCACCCAAUUUUAUGUUUUACCAACUGAUUGUUAUUUUUUAUUUCUUUUAACUUAAAAAAUCCUUUAUACAUAUCUCAUUUCAGAGAUUAAUACCCUUCUUCCCAUCUUUGUAGCAUUUAUAUUUUUCAUGAAAGAUUAAACGUGUUUCAGAAUAUCACCCACUUUAGUAGUUUUCAUUUGAGUACUUUGGCUUCACCCAACCUAAAGUAAUAAAUCGUGUGUGUAAAAGUUCAACACUUAUCAAAAUUAAUUAUCAACAAAUGUGGUAGUACAUAUAUACAAUUCAAAGUAAUAAAUAUUUACUUAUAUGGAUAGAACCUAAGCAAGUCACAUGCAAAGCUGAUAACUCCACAGGAAGGCUGAUUUCAUGGCCUGUAUUUUUUCGGUAGUGAGUGCAAAUUUUAGUUGAUUGAUCCAUUAUGUGGAGGCAAGUACUCUUUAUAACCAGGAAUUCAUACCUAAUAACCUACUGGGAUAUUCUAAGUUUUGUAAUUAGUUAAAGCUAAUAGACUCAUGUGGAAAGAGUGAUUACAUUACUGUUUAUUCAAUAUAUCCUAUGUUCCAAGCACUGCGAGAGGACUGCACAUAUAUCAUCUCCUUUAAAUUUCCAGCUUUGUACAGACAGAUGAGAGGUACUGCAAAAUGAACGUGUUUUCUGAUUUCACAGUCCAUGGUCUUUUCACUGGUAUCAUUAGUAGUGACCUUUAUCAUCUAUGCUGCUCACUGCUCAUAAAUACACACAGAGAGAAAACCAAAGUUUAUGAGGAAACCUCCUACACAACUGGCAACUUUUUGAAUGAUCACAUCAGCAUCCAUAAGUGAGGUCACUCUAGGGCAGUGAUGGCAAACUUAUGGCACACAUGCUGCAACAGGCUGUUGGUGUUAUUGAAAGCUCUAAAAUGUUCACUGUUGCUGUUCUACAGGGUGAGAUAACCAAGAUCCCAGAGUGAGCAAUGGCUUCACAUCCCCAUACUUCUUAUAACAGUUCCUAAAGAGCAGUUCAGUAGAAGACUCAGCCUGAUGAUCACUUGCCAGGAUGUGCGGUGUUCAUGCAAGAGGGUCAGUUCAGACCAGAAGUACCACUCCCAUUUAUGCCAUAGUUUAAGAUACUCAAAUUUCAUAGUUGUAAUGAUCUGCCCAAAGUAACCUUAUCACUCUUUGUUUCUAAGAGUGCUGAACCCUCUGAAAGAUGUCAUGCCAUAUUUUAUUUUCUGUUAUGAAAACUUAUAGGCUGUAGGUUUCUCAAGAAAUGAAAAAACCAACCAAAAAACAAAAAAACAAAACACAAAUUAGAGAACAUUGACAUGGAUGAAGGGAAAAAUGCUUUCUGUGGCACCUCCAUGACCCUUCUAGAGGUUUCCUUGGGUCAGUUUAGGGGCCCAUACAUGCAAUAACAUCUUUCAUAUUAAAAUGAUGUGUUUUACAGACUAUAGAAAACUAGAAUACGACUUUUCAUUUAAAUGAGUUGAAAUCCUUUGGGAAAGUAGAAGAAUUCAAGAAACAGAGAAGUGGCUGUUUCUAAGCCAAGAGGAAAAAGACAGAGUCUUUUUGGUUUUCAAAUUAGUUGUUAAGGAAAACGUUUUCCUUCCCAUCAAACUUUCACUUUCUCCUCUUUAAAAUAGAUUAAUCAUAGCUGUAUAGGUUUUCUGCGGCUUGUUAAAAUGUGGAAAAUAUGAACAGUGGCCUCAGACUUUCAUGAGUAAAUUGUCAUUUCGUGUUUUGAUUAGCCCAUAUUUCAAACCCCAUAUGGAGAAAGUGCUCUUCUCACUUGUGGGCUGGUGACUGGCAAGAACAUGCUAAUGGGAUCUGCAGACCAUGUCUUUAUGAACUGACAAUAAAUUCCAGAGGACAAAACAGCUUCCAAUCAUAAUUCAGUAGUAUGGAACUGUUCUAUUAACCAUUCUGAUGAGCACAGUUCAUGUUUCAGAACCCCAUCAUCCACAGAGCUCUGCUCAUCCUUUUCUGCUUAAUGAAGGCCACAUUUUAAAAUCUUUUUUAAUUCUUAAAAAUAUUACCAUUAUAAAUUCACACUCCUGCGACAGUCUUCAAAAUAACUCUUUAGGGAACAAAAGAUAGAUGUAACUGGAAGAAUAGAAUGUUAACACUGACUGGUUAGUCAUUUAACUUUCCCGUGUCUCGGUUUCAUUGUAUUUAGAAUGACGGAAUAAAGCAGGAUGAUGGUAAAGCAGUGUUCUCAAACCAGCAUGGUCACCUGAGAACUUGGUAGGAAGGCAAAUUCUCAAGCCUCCCUCUACGCCCAGCAACUGAGUUCAGACACAGCGAUCUGCAUAUUAACCAGCUCUUCACAAAUUCUCAUACAUGCUCAGGUGUGAGAAUCAUUUCUACCAGGUUAAUCCUUAUACAAAGGGCUUGCCCACCAUGUUCUAGAAGUGCAAUGCAUAUACAUACAUACAUUCAUAUGUACCAGCUAUUCCCUUUCAGUUAUUAUCCCUACAUUCUGUUAUCAGAAAAAACUGAAACACAGAACCAGGAUUUGGAAAGCUGGAAAUGGCACCCAGUCUUCUCACUCAGUGUAGCGGUGAGGGCGCUUUUGUAACCCUCUUCAUGGGCCAUAGUAGACAGUGUUCUGACUGUAAAUGCAGAAAGUUGCCCAGUUCUGACAGGGCCAACAAAUUCAGGCUUUCAGGAGAUUCUGAACAUACAUUAAUAUUAAUCCAGCUCCUUCCUUUGUGGGAUACUAGUGAUUGUAUUUUGUCAACAAACAUUUAUUGAUCUCACAUUAUGCUCAAGGCUAAAUGCCUAGCCAGUAAAUGAAUAAGCAACAGGCUUUCUCAAAUACUGAACAAUCUUACUCAUAUGUGGAACAAAGGCUGAUCUAACAGAAGUGGAAUAGAAUGGUGGCUACCAAAGGCUGGGGUUGGUGAAGGGGCGAAGGAAUUUGGGAGAUGUUGGUUAAAGGAUCCAAAUUACAAUUAAACAGAAGGAAUAAGUUCAAGACACCUGUCAUAAAGUAUGGUGACUACAGUUAAUGGUGAUAUAAUGUAUCCUAGAAAAAUGCAUCUCGGUAUUAAGUAUUCUCAUUAUGAAAAUGGCAAUCAUGUGAGGCAUUGCAUUGUUAAUUAACUAGGUAUUACCAUCCCCCAGUGUAUGUAUAUUUCAACACAAUAUAUACAUGAUAAGUACAUAGUACUUUUUGAGAAGUCCAUUUCACUUUUUAAACUGCUUUUUAGAGAGCUGGGAUGGUGGGUAUCUUCCCAAAGUACACACUGGAAUCUCUUGGGGGGCUUUUAAACAAUACUAACCUGAAAAUCUGAUUUUCCUGGUCUAAAACUUAGUUGACCAUACUCUCUGUGUAGAGUGCUACUACUAUAACUAAUCUGCCUACACUAACUAUAAUAUGGUAUAUGGUUCAUAUAUACAAAUAUUCAAAUAAUUGAGAUGUUUACAUUAAAAAUUACUCCUUGUUAUUUUGAAAUUCUAAUUUGACUGGGAAUUCUAUACUUUUAUUUACUAAGUCUCAUACUUCUGUGUAGAGAUUCUAAAAUUUAGACAAGGCUGAGAAACUUAAACGCUUCAGGUGUUGCCAGAGUGAUGGCAUAUAGGACAGCAAGGCCACAUCUGGGUCUACCACACGUUCAGUUUCGUCCAUGUCAGUUCUUCAGUCUCUUUAUAAUAUUUGCUUGAAAACUUUUUAAAAAUGGUCAAAAAUAGUUUGCAAGUAUCUGACAUAAUCCAGUUGUUUUUUCCAGAUAAGAAAAUAUAAGAUCCAAAGGAAAUCUCUCUUAGCCACUCUAUCAUGACUAAUUAAUUGCAGAACAAAACACCAGGUCUUGCUCUUUUCCUUCCACCAGAUGCUACUGCUGCCAUGUCUCUUGCUGGUUCAUGGUGUGUGUGUGUGUGUGUGUGUGUGUGUGUGUGUGUGACAGUUCAAGAUUAGAAAUAUAUGACUCUAUCUUUUAGAUAAAGUGUGGGCAAAUAUUUAGCAAGUCCUAAAGAUGGGCUAUGCACAAAUGAAGAGAUGCUAAGAGCAGAGCUCAGGGAUUAAGAUGUAGUUUUGGUUUUCAGGAAGCUAGUAUAGGUGAAAAGCUAAGUAGUGCUGCUGUCCUUAGGAAAAAACGUCAGCUUUAUGGCUUGUUCUCUGCAUAAUCUGACUGUUCACCUCCUUUUUUUGAUCCCAAAGAUAAAAAUGAGGAGGUUAGAGGACAGAGCUGGAUUCCCAAAAGCUGCUGGAGGGAACCUGGCAUGUAACCUAAAUUCUCAUUUUGAGAGUUAAAGGAAUGAGGAAUAUAUGAUGACAAAUGACAUGGGGAUGACUAUUCUUUGUGCAGUGGUGUGAUUCACAAUGGCUACAUCUGUCAGACUUUUUGACAAAUGGCCUUGAAUAUUCUCCAAUUAAAUGAACUGCAUAGAAUUUAAAAGUAGCAGGGAAUAAAAGAAUGUAUCUUUUCAUUUGUGGAAAUAAAUUUACUUCCAUCCAUAAGAGAAUGGGUAAUUGUUAACAGUGUUUCUGGGCCAAAGGGAAAAAUAUAUAUGAAUAAGGUAUUGAAUGGAGUGGAAGUAAUCCACCUGCUCGUGACCUCCUGCCUCUGUCAAUUUGGCAGGGCUUCUGACGGGCCAUGUGGGAGGACAGUGGCUUUCUGUAUUGCUCUUGGAUGCCAGUGACCCAGAUAUGGUGGAAAGGCUUUUAGGUGAUGAUCAUUUGGACUUAGGAAGGGGACAGGUCAGGAACAAGACUAACAAGGUAUAAAUAGAUUAACGUAGAGGCAUGAGAGAGCUCCUGGGGUACAAUGGCUUUCCUCUAAGAAUCUGCACUCCAGACAGCCUCUCAGACUCACACAAUGCAGUCUGUUCGUAUCACUUACAUGGUUUCCAGGUUUUGAUAUCUUCUCCACAUUUUGCUUUCUACCCAUACUACCAACUCCAGUACCUCCUAUGAGUCCUUUAAUUUCAUGAUGAGAUUACCUUUUGGCUGUAUUUUCAAACUGCUAUACAUACUUCAGGAAAACAGUAUGAUUUUUUUCAACAAAUGAUGUUUUUCUCACAUGGGGAACCCUAGAGGAUGGUGUGUAUCACAAAAGUCCCACCACACAUCUGGCCUUUAGAGAAGAAAUUGAAAAUUCAUGUGCAGCAGUCUCAGUGACCAAGGUUACCCAGGCGGCAGUAUAGUUUGCCAUACUAACAAGGUCUGGACGCUAAUGGCCACUACUUUGAGUAUCUCUUGUAAUUGUGGAGGCCAAAGGUAAUUUGUAUUAAUCUCAUGACGUCUUAAUAAAUUCAAUAUUAAAAUAUUUAUACAAGUUUUUACUUUCCUGAAAUGUGUAUACAUUUUUUGGUGCUCUAUUUCUGUGUGUGCACAUGUGUAUACAUAUGUAUUUCAAUAUGGUCAGUUUGGAAUAUAUAUAAAGUUACUCUAACAACUCAUCUUGGAAUGCUUCUUCUGAAGUUAUUUUCAGAAUCCAUUUAUUAGCUUCAUUACUUCACAUUCACAGUUCAUUUUUGACCAAAAAUUGCAUUAUUGCAUAGAUGCACCAGAUUUGCUAGUGUAUGACACUGAGUGGAUUCCAAAUGCCAUAUUCACUCCAGUGAAGAAUUGCUCCUGUCAGGAAAUAUGGACAUCAUACUGACUACUGGCUGGGUUGUUUUCAGUCAAUUGAAUAGCUGGAUGUGAUGUAUUGGUUGAACAGUCAAGUUAUUCAUUCAACAAUUAUUUAUGGAGGAUUUAUUUUGCAUAAGCAUUGUGAUAGAUUUUAGGGAUAAUAAGGUAAAUGAAACACAAGGGAAUAGGCUAUGUAAUUAUGACCCUCUACAUAUAUCUAUAUAUCUAUAUAUAUAUUUAAAUUUAUUAUCUUUGAAUUCCUAAUAGUUUUUGAAUAAAUUCAUCAUGACAGACAAAAAAGAAUAACCCCUGGCCCUUAUUUCUACUGUUUGUUUAAAUUCUAAUGUGCUAAUUUAAAAAAAUCAGUGAUCAUUAUUUGUGGUUACAUCUGUAAAAGUUAAUUGUCACUGUCACCCAAUAUCAAACACCCUAUUUUUUCCUUUCAAUAGCUGAAACUUCUGAAGUUUAAUUGGGCAGCUGGCUUCUCAGUUACAGACCACAUUUCCCAGCUGCCCUUGCACUUACAUGUACAUGAGACAAAAUUCUGGCUGUAUUUUCAAACUGCUAUACAUACUUCAGGAAAACAGUAUGAUUGAAGUGAAUGAAGAGCGUGGUUUGCCAUUUUCUCUUUUAUCCUUCAUAGGAACAGGAAUAGGGAUGAAGAAUUAUGAGCAACUUUAGGUAUGUGAGUAAGAUAGCACACCAGCAUGUGGUGAAGCAUCAAGUAAAAGAAACAGGAGUACAAUAUCUGAAUGACUUCAUGGAAUAAUACCACCCAGGAAUCAUCUUUCUAUCACUGGACUGUGACAGAGAGACCUGGAGAUUCUAUUUUGAUUGAGCAUUAUGUUUUGAGACCUAAUCUCAACUGCUAAGACUAGACUUACUUCCUUGCUCUCUGUAUCUCCUCUGGAGCUCUGGAUGCUCCUAAGCAAGAUCAUCCCCCAUUGGCAUCCAAACCUCAGUGUCAUAAGAGAUCUGGGAGGCUGGGCCACAAGACACUUAACCUUCCAGUUGUAGCACAAAUCUGACUCUCCCUGGGAAAAUGACUUUCCUGAAGCCCUCAGUGGUGGCUAUUUUCUCACAUUCUCCCUUUGUAUUACUGAUGUUGGAGUGGAGCAGGAACCCUACCUUUCCUUCUUGUUGUCCUACGAAGGAAUUUCAUUUCAUCUGUCUGACUUCUGUGUCCCCUUCAUGUUACAAUCUACAGAUUCCUUGAUCGCUUGUUAAAGAUAUUAGCUUGUGGUUUGCUAUCACAUUUGCAAUACAACCGUAAUCACAAAUCUUGCUGAUUUCACUAUCUCUGUAGGUGAACAUGGAGGCUGCAGAUUGUGUCCUCCACUUGCUCUCACAACAACAUCAACUCUGGUAGAACCUCAAUUUUAAACUUUCUAGUGAGCACUCCCCUGCCUAGUUUCCCACAUUUCUCUAAUACUUUAACUCAGCAACCUUUGAUUGUACUCUGCCACUCAUUGGUUCUACUAAUGUUUUAUGGUUAUUCAUACCUAUCAUACCCAUUCUUAUUUAAUUUAUAUUCCAUAGUUCACUAUGCUAAUCAUUCCCUUUUGAAUAUCUUCAAAUUUAUUGUCCAUGUCUUUGUUGUACCAUCUAACAAACACCUACCCUUACUGAAGUGAACAACAAGCAAGCCCUCUGUGAAUUGGCACCAUGCACACUCUGGGUGUACAGCCAGAGGCCAGCCUCUUCCAGCAUGCGGGCUGGGAAACAAGAAGAGCCAACACCCCUAACCCCUGCCCUUGUAAGUGACCAGCUGAUACAGAGAAACACAGGCUGCUACGAUAGCUGUUGAAGUAAAAUACAAUUUAAUGCUUGUAGUGCUUAGUGUUUCGCUGACUUUGCAGGCCUAAAGCUGGUAGUCUGAUUAUCUAUUCAGAGGGUAACAAUACGCAAUGUAGCAUCUAUGGCAGAAUUGCCUUCUGAAGGUAGUGGCCAUUGUUAAUUGCCUAUUAUCUUGUUUUGAAGUCCUGUAUCAUUUUCAUUGUUUUGUUGGGUUGGGCUUUAUUGUUUUGUUUUGUUUUGAUUUAUUUUCUUAUUUUUGAUAACAUAGAUAGCUAUUUCUCAUUAUGAAGCCAUCUCCAGUGACUCCAUACUUUUAUAGCAAAAAUCCUUGAAGGAUUUGAAUGUAUAUGUACAAUCUUCGAUUCCUUUCCAGUUAGACAUCACACCCAUCAUUCUACUGAGAAGCCUCCUGUCAUGAUCUCCAGUAACCUCUAUGAAACUCCAAGGGUUAAUGCUCAGUUCUUGUAUUACAUGACCUCAGUAUCACUUGGCAUAUUUAAUCAUUACUUUUACUUCAAACAUUCUCUCAUAAUCUUGAUUUACAUUUAAAAAGUAUAGUCAGGUUUAGACUAUAAAUCUUUAUGCAAAAUCUCAGUGGGAUGAAAUUCUAAAAUGGGAAAUGUUUACUUCUACAUGGGGAAAUACUGGGAGAAAGUGAAAUAAUAAAUAAAAGCAAAAGGAAGACCCAUGAGCUUGUUCAUAAAAUAGAUAGUACCCACAUUUUAGUACAGAGGUUCUGAUAGCUGAAAAGAACCUUAAACUUCAAGUACAAUACUUACAUUUUGUAACUAAGGACAUCAAGGAUAAGAGAGGUGAUUUUUCUUGUCACUGAGUAGUGGCAUGAGUCUAGAAUCUAGCUUUUGGCUAGAAGAGCUUAUCCCAGUAUCUGCUUUUCUUCUCAUGCAAAUGUAUGGGUGUAUUAAUACAUCAUAAAUAUUGAUGAGAAAAUAUAUAUGACUAUAUAUGCAACACAUAAAUACAAUGUAUAUUUAUACAUAUGCAUACACAUUUUUAAAAAUGACUUUUCUCCCCAAAUGAUGGGAAUGUUGAGCAGAGUGCAUGUAUUCUCUUUGUCUGCUCUCUCCUGAUAGACUGGUGUCCCACAUAGCUCACCAGGGAACAAGCCUAUCUUAUCUCUAAGACAGGGCCAAUGCUGAAGCAAAAGGACUACAGGAAUCCCUUGAACUAGCUGAACACUGUCUGAAUGUAAGACUCACUUCCCUGGCCCACCUUCUCUUUUCUGCUGAUGGAAGGAGGCUGGAUAUGGGAAACAGGGAGAUUUAGGUUGGUCCUGGCUAACUCACUGGGUAAGCAUUCAGUGCUUUUCUGGUCUAAACAAUGAGUCUGUGUUCUUCUAAGUCUUAAUUCUUCCUUUCUAAGCUUCAGUGUCUGGAAUUAAAGUUCUUUGGGCUGAUCUCAUGCUUACUAUAUUCUAAUCUUCUAGUUGUAGGUUCUAUUCUAUGACUUAUUAGCCCCUCAUUACUGAGCUUUUUGCCUGGCUAGAUGUGUACUGUCUUCCUAUCUGUCUUGUCCCUCUUUGCUGUUUGCUAGAAGCUUGGCUGGACUAUCUGAUCUGUGAUUUGUGCCAUAUCUAAUUAGACAUUUGGUUCCAGCUAUAGUAACACAGCUGUUCCUGGGCCUGAUAUGACAUAAAAGAAUAAAUAAGCAACUGGGGAUGCAAAUGUUAUAAAUGAGAAGAUGGACAUUGUACUAAACAAAAAAUACUGAAGAGGAGGGAGGGCAAGAAGAAAAAAGAUGAAAAGAAUGGCAUCAUGAUAUUUCAGUAUAAUAUGUACUCUGAUUUAAAAAGAAUAUAAUAAGCUUAUAAUAUAUGGCUUGCAUGAUGGUUAAUUUUCGGUUUCAACUCAAUAGAUUAAAGGAUAUGCAGGCAGUUGCUAAAUAACCCUGAAAUACACUUGUGAGAAUAUCAAGAAGGGGUUGGUAUUUGAAUUGCUGGGCUGAGUAAAGAAGAUCUGCCACCACUGUGGGUGAGCACCACCUAAUCAGGCGAGAGUUUUCAUAGAAAAAAAAAAGGCAAAGGAAAGAUUUCAUGGGGCUGGGAUAUCCUUCUGCUCUGGCCCUUAGACAUAAGAGCUCCAGGUUCUCUGGCCUUGAAAUAUGUACCAGUGGGCUUCCAAGCUCUCUGCUGCUAAUGGUUUCCCUGGCCUUAGCCUAUAAAUGGCUUUUUUUGGGACUUUUUGGCCUUCUAAAUCCUGUGAGCAUAUUCCUCUAAUAAUUUCACUUUCAACUGUACAGCCAGUAUAUAUACAUCGUAUGUGGUUAGGCAUCUCUAAAGAACCCUCAUUUCUCUUGUAACUAGGAGGAGUGGAGUACGCAAUAGAGAUGAAGAGAAAAUUCUGAGUUUAAAAGGCUAAUGUACAUUGUCCAACUGGCUGGAUUAGACUUCCAGAGAUAUGGCUGCACUUUGAAGGCACCAACUUUAUGGCUGGUUUAACUCACUGAUGACCUCACAGCUGAGUGGAAAUAAAAAGAUGGGGCUAGUUACAGAAGGUAGGUCAUGAACUAUAACCUUGAGGAAUACACCUGACCCUGGUCCCUUCUUCUAUAGCUUGUAUCCAGCUCUCUGCUUUCAUAUUUCAUGAGUUGAGUGGCUCUUCUCUGCCACACUUGUCUACCAUAAUGUUUCUGCCUUGAAGUCAAAUGGACUGAAAACUCUGAAACUGGGAACUGAAUUAAACUUCUCUUCCUUUACAGUGCAAGUAGCAAGUAUUUUGUGUGAGCUGACAAGUUCAGUCACACAUAUUCUAUUUGUUUUCCUUAACGAAAUUUAUAAAACAGCUGAGUACAUUAUGUAUCAACGUCAAUAUAUCAACAUUGAUAUCAGGGCUGAGUACAUUGUAGAAGACUUGCUUGAUUCAUUUGCCUGGUAUUAAGAUAAUUCCACAAAGUUUCAUGUAGUUGUGGUUCUUCCUUUUCAUAAUUGCACAAUAUUUUACUAUGUCAAUAUAUUGCAAUGUGUUUUACCAAUAUCUUAUAAAUGAAUAAGCUGGAGGUAACCAGACAUUUUUCCUUACAAACAAUCAUAUAUAGAUACUUUACUUCAAUUCUGAAACUCAUGUGUUAGAACAACACACACACACACACACACACACACACACACACACACACACACAGAGUGGAGUUAGUGGGUGAAGGAACAUGAGAAUGAUUAUCCUUCUAAGACAAGGCCAAUUUAUAUCCCAAGGUAAUCCUGACAGUUUAAAAUCCUGAAGAAAUGCAAACUAGAUGCUAUCACUUAUGUUUUAUCCAAUAUAAGAUAUUACCAAGCUUCAAAUUUCUGUCAGAUAGUCGUAAGUGGUACCUCAAUGCCACCUUCACAAAAUCUUUCCUGAUUACUAAUCUACUUUGAGCAUCUCUUUGCAUGUUUCUUACCUGCAUUUGUUUUUAGGCUUUAAAAUGCCUCCUUGUAUCUUAGGACCAGUUUUACCCAUAAAAUUAUGAUCUUUUGAUUCUAUAGGAUGUUAAUUUAUAUAUAAAUUCAA